rnacentral:rRNA from 1 species
UGGGGGAAUAUUGCACAAUGGGGGGAAACCCUGAUGCAGCGACGCCGCGUGAGCGAAGAAGUAUCUCGGUAUGUAAAGCUCUAUCAGCAGGGAAGAAAAAUGACGGUACCUGACUAAGAAGCCCCGGCUAACUACGUGCCAGCAGCCGCGGUAAUACGUAGGGGGGCAAGCGUUAUCCGGAUUUACUGGGUGUAAAGGGAGCGUAGACGGCAAUGCAAGUCUGAAGUGAAAGGACGGGGCUUAACCCUGUGACUGCUUUGGAAACUGUGUAGCUUGAGUGCCGGAGGGGGUAAGCGGAAUUCCUAGUGUAGCGGUGAAAUGCGUAGAUAUUAGGAGG